UUUAACUGCACUACCAAUUAGAUGUCAGAGAAGGUCAGCAGGAUAAUAUUUUCUCCAAAAAAUAUAAUUGCCUAUAUUUAUACCAGAAUCGGGGCCAAAGAAAUAUCCAAUAUUCAUUCCGAUCAGUUUACUCCAGCAAACCCCCUCCCAUCAUCACUUCAAAUCUUUAAUCACCAAUUUUAAUAAACAUACUCUCUCUCUCUCUCUCUCUCUCUCUCUCUCUCUCUCUCUCUCUCUCUCUCUCAUGCAUCUACACUAGUUAAUCAUGGCAGACAAAGACACAGAGCUUCUCUCUCGAGUCGUCGCAAACCACCUCUUCUUAGGCCAAUUCGAACCCUUUCGAGCCACUCUCUUAACUCUCCGAUCUCGAAACCCUAACUUAGCUCGCUCUAUUCUACAAACUAUUGUUUCCAAAGCCGGACGAUUAGAUAACUUGUUGUUCUCGCCUUCCUGUCCUUCUCCGGCUCAUCUGACUCAUCUAUGCACUCUCGAAUUACUCCAAUUCAAUGAUCCCUGUUUGGAUGUGUGGAGUUUCGGAGUUGAUUCGCUUCGGUUGCGGGCCGAGUUUUUGCUUUGUGUUCAGAUUAUUAGUUCUAGAGUAGCUGACAGUGUUAAGGAAAGUGUUAGUUUGGGUGAGAAUGUUGAAGGUGAGGGGGAGGAUAGGGUUUUGGCGGGAAACGAGGAGGUUUUUAGGGUUUUGGAGAGGGUUUUGGAGGUGGGAGUGAGUAGGUUGAGGCCGAGUGUGGUGGAUGAGGGUGAUGAGGGAGUAGGUGUGGAGUUUGAGGAAGAGGAGUUUGGUUGUUUGAAGAAGGCUGUGUUGGAGAAUGCGGAGAUGUUUGAGGCGUUGUGUGAUAAUGUGGAGAAGCAGGUUGGGUUGGUCGAGAGCGAUGAGUUGGGGUUAGGGAGGAAGGUGGAUGGGGAUUUUAAGGUGUUUAGGAUGAUUCAAAGGGUUGUGCAGGUAGCCCAUUUGGAUGCCAUGAAUGAGUGUUUAAAUGAAGGUGACGAAGAUGGAAUGAUUGGUCAUGUUCGGUUUCUUCAUUUGGAUCAUGGAGUGGAGGAGUCUAGAUACCGCAUGGCUUUGCAAGAUCUGGUCAAGAGGGUUUUGUUGGAAAAGGAUGAAUAUGGAGACGCCUGGCUGGCCAUCAGGCGUAAACUGUUAUCACUCUAUGCGGAAGCUCUGUCUUCAGCCUGCACACGUCUUGUUCAAAUGAUUCAGAUUAUUCAAGAUGAUCUUCUAGCUGAAGAGAUUGAACUUUACAGAGCUUCUGGCAGCAAUCAGAUAUUACCUCCAAUUGAGCGUUUGCUGAAUUACAUUUCUGGACUAAAAUCAGAGACAGGUGACACGACGUCAUCUUUGAAGAUGGCAACUUACUCGUGCAUGAGAGACUUGUAUCAUUAUGCUCGUGUUUCUGGCGUUCAUGUAUUAGAGUCUGUCAUGAAUAUUGCCCUGUCUGCUGUCAAGAGGGAGCAACUUCAAGAAGCGAGUGAUGUUCUCUCACUGUUUCCGCGACUUCAACCCCUAGUAGUUGUCAUGGGUUGGGAUCUGUUGUCCGGCAAAACCAAAUUAAGAAAGAAGCUAAUGCAGCUUCUAUGGACGACCAAAUCACAGGUUCUCCAGCUGGAAGAGUCUUCCCAAAAUGGUAAUUCACACAAGGUAUCUUGUGUUGAGCAUCUUUGUGAUUUUCUAUGUUAUCAACUGGACCUUGCUACUUUUGUUGCUUCCGUCAAUUCUGGCCAAUCGUGGAGUUUGAAGUCCUCGUUGUUGUUGUCGAGAAGAGAACUUUCACAGAAUGAAGUUGAUAUCCAUUUCGAUCCGUUUGUUGAAAAUUUGGUUCUGGAAAGAUUGUCUGUGGGAAGUCCUAUUCGGGUUCUGUUUGAUGUAGUGCCAAGCAUAAAAUAUCAAGAUGCUAUUGAAUUAAUUAGCAUGCAGCCGAUCACCUCCAAUCUAGCAGCCUGGAACAGGAUGCAAGAUGUUGAAUUGAUGCACAUGCGUUAUGCACUGGAAUCUGCUGUUAGUGCACUGGAAGUCAUGGGCAGAAGUGUGGCUGAUGUGAAAGAAAUCUACCAAGUGGCGUUGUGCUAUUUAAAAGACCUGAGAAGCCACCUGGAGGCCAUCAAAAUUACCCCUCGCAAGAUAUUGAUGAUCAAUAUUAUUAUAUCCCUCCUCCAUAUGGAUGAUCUGAAAGCAACACCUCUUGGGGCAAGCCAUUCAGAAUUACCUAAUACAUUUAGCGUUGACUAUGCUGACGCUGAAAGUCACGGAGAAGGAAACGAGAUGGUUGUAUCUUUCACAAAGUUGAUACUUAAAAUAUUGCAGCAGAAUCUACCUUUGGCCGUAGCUGAACAGGAUAGUUCACUGAAUGCUAAUCAAAGACAAGGCUUGGAGUGGAGAAGCCUACAUGCUAAACGUUUUAUUGAAGAUUGGGAAUGGCGUUUGUCAAUCUUACAGUGUCUUCUACCAUUAUCUGAACGCCAAUGGAGCUGGAAGGAAGCGUUAACUGUAUUACGUGCAGCCCCAUCAAAGCUACUUAAUCUUUGCAUGCAAAGGGCUAAAUUUGACAUUGGAGAAGAAACUGUACAUCGUUUUGGAUUAUCACCAGAAGAUAGAGCAACACUUGAAUUGGCUGAAUGGGUGGACGGUGCAUUUAGACGAACAUCUGUGGAAGAUGCUGUGUCACGUGCUGCUGAUGGAACCUCUGUUGGUCAAGAUUUGGAUUUUUCCUCUCUUCAUUCCCAAUUAGGUCCUCUGGCAGCAAUUUUGCUGUGCAUUGAUGUUGCUGCAUCUUCUUCAAAAUCUGCAGAUGUGUCUUUGAAGCUUCUAGACCAGGCUCAGGUUAUGUUAUCUGAGAUCUAUCCAGGUGGUAAUCCAAAGAGAGGGUCAACCUAUUGGGAUCAGAUUCAUGAAAUGGCUAUAAUUUCUGUUGUGAGACGUCUUUUGAAGCACCUUCAUGAUUUGUUGGAACAGGAUAAACCACCAGUUCUUCGGGCUGUCUUGUCUGGGGAGUAUAUCCUAUCUUCAUCACAGGAUUUGAACCGACAAGGACACAGGGAACGUGCUCUUGUUAUGCUACAUCAAAUGAUUGAUGAUGCUCAUAUGGGAAAACGACAGUUUCUGAGUGGUAAGCUUCACAAUCUUGCUAGAGCCGUUGCAGACGAAGAAAACGAAAAAAAAUCUUUAAAAUCGGAGGGAUCGUAUAAUGACAUGAAGGCUGUCUUAAAUCAUGACAAGGAUGGGGUCCUUGGAUUGGGGUUAGUAGUCUCCAAGCAAUCAUUGCCUGGUUUGGCAUCUGGAGAAAUUGGUACAAAUUCAACUGGAUCUGAAACUAAAGAGACCGGAAAGAGAUUGUUUGGUCCUUUGAAUGUGAAGUCUUCUACAUAUCUCUCCCAAUUUAUCCUCCAUAUUGCUGCCAUUGGUGACAUAGUGGAUGGGGCAGAUACAACUCAUGAUUUUAACUACUUCUCUCUUGUGUACGAGUGGCCCAAAGAUCUUUUAACUCGUCUGGUAUUCGAGAGGGGUAGCACAGAUGCAGCUGGAAAGGUAGCAGAAAUUAUGUCUGCUGAUUUUGUCCAUGAAGUAAUUUCUGCAUGUGUACCUCCAGUAUAUCCUCCUCGAUCUGGUCAUGGAUGGGCAUGUAUCCCAGUAGUUCCCACAAGUCCAAAUGGCUACCCUGAACGUUCAUUACUUUCCCCUUCAUCUGGAGAAGCUAAGCCAAAUUGUUACAGCCGUUCUUCGUCCAUACCAGGAGUUUCUCUGUACCCUCUUCAGUUGGAUGUAGUGAAGCACCUUGUCAAGUUAUCACCAGUGAGGGCUGUCUUGGCAUGUGUUUUCGGAAGUAGUAUAUUAUACCGCGAUAGUGACACCACUAUUAGUUCCAUGAACAAUAAUGUUCUGCAGACACCUGAUGCUGACAGGUUAUUCUAUGAAUUUGCUCUUGACCAGUCAGAAAGAUUUCCGACUUUGAACCGCUGGAUACAAAUGCAGAGUAACCUCCAUCGAGUGUCAGAAUAUGCUGUACUGGCUGAGCAGGAAAUUGGGGAAGAUGUAGAUAAAAGUGAAGCAACAACUUCUAUUAAGCGAUUCCGCGAGAAUGAUGGUGAUUCUGAAUCAGAAAUUGAUGAGAUAGCUGUUAGUGAUAAAUCUACACUGCUGCCAGACAUUAUAAAUAAAGGAAAUGCUGUUUCUGAUCCUUUGCUCGACUCGCUCAAGCCAGAAGGGGACAAAGUUGAUACAACAGUUUUCCUUUCCUUCGACGGGGAAAAUGAAGCGCCCUAUGAAAGAGCUGUUGAGAGAUUAAUCGAUGAAGAAAACUUAAUGGAUGCUCUUGCUCUUUCGGAUCGUUGCCUAAGAAAUGGAGCUUCAGAUCAUUUACUUCAGCUACUUAUUGAACACGGUGAGAACAAUCCGUCAUCAUCUGGAGAGUCUCAAGGUUUUGCUAGUCCUGGGUUAUGGAGCAGUAGUUGGCAAUAUUGUUUGCGUUUAAAGGAUAAACAACUCGCUGCUAAACUUGCCCUCAGAUAUCUGCACAGCUGGGAGCUGGAUGCUGCUUUGGAUGUUCUUACUAUGUGCAGUUGCCACUUGAUUGAAAGUGAUCCUAUUAAGAAAGAGGUUGUUUCAAUGCGGCAAUCGUUGCUGAGAUACAAACAUAUAUUACGCGUUGACAAUCUACAUGAGAGUUGGCAAGAGGUUGAGGCAGAGUGUCAGGAAGAUCCUGAAGGUCUUGCUCUUAGACUGGCUGGAAAAGGAGCUGUCUCAGCAGCUUUAGAGGUAGCUGAAAGUUCAGGACUAUCGAUCGAUUUAAGGAGGGAGCUGCAGGGUCGUCAGCUUGUAAAACUUCUUACAGCAGAUCCGCUUAAUGGUGGCGGUCCAGCAGAAGCUUCACGCUUUCUUUCGUCCUUGCGUGAUACUGAUGAUGCUUUACCAGUUGCGAUGGGCGCAAUGCAGCUUUUGCCCAAUUUGAGAUCUAAGCAGCUUCUCGUUCACUUUUUCUUGAAGAGAAGGGAUGGUAAAUUGUCAGAAGUUGAAGUUUCUAGACUCAACUCUUGGGCAUUAGGUCUUCGUGUGUUGGCUGCUUUGCCAUUACCAUGGCAGCAAAGGUGCUCUUCCCUCCAUGAGCACCCUCAUUUAAUUCUGGAGGUUCUUUUGAUGCGGAAACAAUUUCAGUCGGCCUCACUGAUACUUAAAGAAUUUCCUUCGUUGAGAGAUAAUAGCAGCCUGAUUGCUUAUGCUGCGAAAGCUAUAGCUGUCAGUAUAUCCUCUCCAUCCCGAGAGCAUAGGAUACCUUUUUCAGGAGCAAGACCAAAACAGAAGACGAGAACAGGCACACCCACAAAAUCGUCUUUUACUAAUGGCUUAAGUAACUUGCAAAAAGAGGCGCGACGAGCAUUUUCUUGGACACCGCGUAAUACUAUUGAUAAAACUGCUCCAAAAGAUGUUUAUAGAAAAAGAAAAACCUCUGGAUUACCACAAUCUGAAAGAGUUGCUUGGGAGGCAAUGACUGGUAUCCAGGAAGAAGGUGCUUCAUUACACUCUACUGAUGGUCAAGAACGACCUUCUGUCUCUAUCGCCGAGGAGUGGAUGCUAACCGGUGAUCCUAUAAAGGAUGAAGGAGUUCGUUCUUCUCAUCGAUAUGAAAGUGCCCCUGACAUCAUUCUCUUCAAGGCACUGCUUUCUUUGUGUUCGGAUGAAACUGUAUCAGCCAAAGGUGCUAUGGAGUUGUGCAUUAAUCAGAUGAAAAAUGUCUUGAGCUCCAAGCAAUUGCCAGAGAAUGCAUCAAUGGAAAUCAUUGGUCGAGCUUAUCGUGCUACUGAGACAUUUGUUCAGGGACUUAUUUUCGCAAAAUCUCAGCUCAGGAAAAUAUCUGGGAGUACUGACUUUGUAAGUAACUUGGAAAGAAAUAGGGAUAUUGAUGAUGCAUCUUCUGAUGCCGGCAGCUCUAGUGUGGGCAGUCAGUCAACUGAUGAACUUUCUGAAGUUUUGUCACAAGCAGAUGUGUGGUUAAGACGUGCUGAGCUCCUUCAAAGCCUUCUAGGAUCUGGAAUAGCUGUCUCCCUUGAUGAUAUUGCUGAUAAGGGGUCUUCUGAACAUUUAAGGGACCGGCUGGUUUUAGAUGAACGAUACAGCAUGGCUGUAUAUACUUGCAGGAAGUGUAAGAUCGAUAUAUUCCCUGUUUGGAAUGCUUGGGGUCAUGCUUUGAUUCGGAUGGAACACUAUGCACAAGCACGCGUUAAAUUCAAGCAAGCACUUCAAUUGCAUAAAGGUGAUCCUACACCUGCGAUUCUGGAGAUCAUUAAUACAAUUGAAGGAGGUCCACCAGCUGACGUUUCUUCUGUGCGUUCCAUGUAUGAACAUUUGGCUAGAAGCGCACCAGCAAUAUUGGAUGAUUCUCUUUCUGCCGAUUCUUAUCUAAAUGUUUUGUACAUGCCAUCAACCUUUCCUCGUUCGGAAAGAUCCAGGAGAUCCCAAGAAGCUGCAAAUGAUAAUACGAAUUACAGUUCAGAUUUUGAAGAUGGACCUCGUAGUAACUUAGACAGCAUUAGAUAUGCCGAAUGUGUUAACUAUCUACAGGAUUAUGCACGACAGCAUUUGCUUAGCUUUAUGUUCAAACAUGGGCACUUCAAAGAUGCUUGCUUCUUGUUCUUUCCUCCGAAUGCUGUUCCUUCUCCUCCCCAACCAUCAUCACUUGGCUUGGUUACUUCAUCAUCUUCCCCUCAGAGACCAGACCCUUUGGCUACUGAUUAUGGAAUUAUUGAUGACUUGUGUGAUUUGUGUGUUGCUUAUGGUGCAAUGCCUGUUUUGGAAGAAGUAUUGUCAUCAAGAAUGUCUUCAGCGGCAUCAGAAGAUGUGUCUGUGAAUCAGCAUACAGUGGCCGCACUUGCUCGCAUCUGUACCUAUUGUGAAACUCAUAAGCAUUUUAAUUUUCUAUACAAUUUCCAGGUUAUCAAGAAGGACCAUGUGGCUGCUGGGCUUUGCUGCAUUCAGUUAUUUAUGAACUCUUCUUCUCAAGAGGAAGCUAUAGCACACUUGGAACAUGCCAAGAUGCAUUUUGAUGAAGGUUUGUCUGCACGAUCAAAAGUAGGAGACUCCACAAAACUUGUGACCAAAGGCGUCCGUGGCAAAAGUGCAUCAGAAAAGCUCUCUAAGCUCUCUGAGGAAGGACUUGUCAAGUUCUCUGCUCGCUUAGCCAUACAGGUGGAUGUUGUAAAAUCAUUUCAUGAUGCAGAUGGAUCACAGUGGAAGCACUCUUUAUUUGGAAAUCCAAAUGACCCAGAAACUUUCAGUGGCCAGCGUGUAUAUACACACGUGUGUGUAUGUAUGUAUAUACAUACGAGACGGAGUCAGUAACAAAGAAAGAUAAAUGGAGAAAAGCUUACCGGAUUGCCUCCACCGCCAACUGAGAAAGAGAUGAAGUCGCCAUUGCAGAUGAGUUUAAGAGAGGAGAAGGUGUGUAAUUGCUGAGGCAUUGGUGGAGAAGAAUUUCGACCUGGCCUUCCAAGUGAUAUAUGAGUUCACUCUUCCUGCUGUUGAUAUCUAUGCUGGAGUGGCUGCAUCACUUGCCGAGCGGAAAAAGGGAGGGCAACUGACAGAAUUUUUCAGAAACAUUAAAGGCACAAUUGAAGAUGAUGAAUGGGACCAGGUUUUAGGGGCAGCAAUUAAUGUCUACGCUAAUAAACAUAAGGAACGACCAGAUCGCCUCAUUGACAUGUUGACUAGUAGUCACAGGAAGGUGUUGGCUUGUGUUGUCUGUGGCCGUCUUAAGAGUGCCUUCCAGAUUGCUUCUCGAAGUGGAAGUGUGGCAGACGUUCAAUAUGUUGCACAUCAGGCAUUGCAUGCAAAUGCUCUUCCUGUUCUUGAUAUGUGCAAGCAGUGGUUAGCUCAGUACAUGUAAAUUACUCGAUGAGAGUCAACUAUCAAAUAUUAAUGCUCUGCACUGUGCAAUAUUCAAGAAGGUUACUGUUGUGCAGCUUUCAACAAACAUGGAUAAAUGGGAAGGUCUAUAAAUUGAAUAGACCUUAACUGCUAACGAGUGCUGUUUGGGCCUAGAUUCAGUAUGCACCAUGGUUCUUUUGUGCAUCUCUGGGCCCUUCAAUUUCAGCCAUUGCUAUUAAUCCUGUUCUUGAACGUCCUCUAAUAUUCAAAGCGUAUAUGGAACUUUUUUGGCAGUUGUCCAUUGUGUACAUAUGAGCUGUAAUUUUAUACCAGGGAACCAUUAGAUCCCAUAAGCCGGCAAUCAUGCAAUUUUUUAUCAUUACAGCUAUAGAGUCCUUGUUUGUACACUCAGUAUCAGAUGUAACAGCAUUUUGGCCAAAUAUUGCCGGAGUGCUCAAAUAGUUUUGUAAAUAAUUAAUUAUAUUAUGUGACAUAGUACUGAGGUUUUAGGCAACUCUCAUUCAGUUUUAUUAAUAUAGUUUUGUACUACAGAAUAACAUAACCUAAAAUGUUUGUAUUAAAGCUAAUUGCUUUUGCACUC